AUUGAACGCUGGCGGCAUGCCUUACACAUGCAAGUCGAACGGCAGCGCGGGAGCAAUCCUGGCGGCGAGUGGCGAACGGGUGAGUAAUACAUCGGAACGUGCCCAAUCGUGGGGGAUAACGCAGCGAAAGCUGUGCUAAUACCGCAUACGAUCUACGGAUGAAAGCCGGGGAUCGCACGACCUUUCGCGAAUGUAGCUGCCGAUGGCAGAUUAGGUAGUUGGUGAGGUAAAGGCUCACCAAGCCUUCGAUCUGUCGCUGGUCUGAGAGGACGACCAGCCACACUGGGACUGAGACAGGGACCAGACUCCUACGGGAGGCAGCAGUGGGGAAUUUUGGACAAUGGGCGAAAGCCUGAUCCAGCCAUGCCGCGUGCAGGAUGAAGGCCUUCGGGUUGUAAACUGCUUUUGUACGGAACGAAACGGUCUUUUCUAAUAAAGAAGGCUAAUGACGGUACCGUAAGAAUAAGCACCGGCUAACUACGUG
rnacentral:rRNA from 1 species